AGUAAGUUUAAAGAGUUCUAUCGACAGUUGGAAGGUGGAUUGUUUUUUGAAGUGCUAGUCUUGGAUCUUUUAUAGGACAAGUACCUACCUACUACCUAUUGAUGAUUCAUCUUAGAUCGUUGGUGGUAGGUAGUACCAUACUACUACAAUAUGUUAAUAAACGAUAAUAAUCAUAAUAAUUUAUUAUUUCUCGCGUGUAGUUAAACGUCCAGGAAAAUCCCAAUAGAUAAUAAUUAAUGAUUGCAGGUAAUCAAAUUAAAAGUAAUUAUAAAUCGACUGAGAUACGUAUCAAGAAAAUACGUAACAAAUUCCAAAGAUUACAAUAUUAAAGUAAAUAUUUAAAUUAUUAUACAGUUUUAUGGUUCAUCAAACAUCACGCAUUCACGUGUCUAAUGUCUAUAUCAAUAAUAUUAUUAUAGGUAAAACCCGUAAAUAAUGACUGCGAGCUAAUGUUAUUUGAAAGUUAUUAUAUAGUUUAUUACAAUUUUGAAUUUUGAACAAUUUCGAUCCAUAAUGUUGACCCGGGUGAGUUUACUAUUUUAAAAAAUCGGGAGAGUUUACCACCGCCCAGACUUGGAACAUUUUGCCAUUACAAACAGUAGUUAAAAUAUGAAUAACUAAUAAGGAAAUAGACGGUCAAGGAUAUAUAAUACCAAUAAUAUAAGUGUAAAAAACAAAAUGUAAAUUAAGCAAGCA